GUGAGGAGCCACACAGGGAGCAUGAGGAACAACUUUGGGAGUGGGGAGCAAAGGGCAUCUGGCCCAUGCAGUGCCAGAUGGCGCCCCAUGCAGGCGGUUGGCUGGGAGAGGAAACAGGCAGGCUGCAGAGGUUUUGAAGGCACCUCCAACCUUGUUAUUCAGUGGCCCAGCUUCUGGUUGCUGCCCUCCUCCCUUACUCCCCAGGCCCCCAGGUCUGGGCAGCACUCCCACAGCCAAAGUGGAUGUGUGCGGGAAAAGUUCACCAGGAACCUGUCGGGUUUGCUGGGGUGUGUGUGUGUGGGGGGGGAGAUAGCUCUCCAGUGGGAAACUAAGAACCUGAACCCACCGGUCCCUGUCCCCCCCCCCCCCCAGCAGAAGUCUGUAUAGUCUGAUAGAUGGUAAAAGGUAAUCCAGGGUUCAAAGCAGAGUAGGGGAUGACGAGUAGUCCCCAGAAACAUGGCUGGACACUGGCAGAAGAUAAUCUUACUACAAUCUCACAUCCUCCAGGAACUUUGUGUGCCUUGGAGGUGGAUGCAGAACCAAGGUAGAGUUGGAGCCCUGCCUUUGCACACCCACUCCCCUCAACCCCCCAGCACUGUCAUGGGUGCAGACCCCUAGGGUGGAGACUGACAACCCCAGGCAGCGCUGAGUUCCUGCAGCCCAAUGCUCACCACUAGCUGUGCCUAUUCGCCACCCACACCCCCUAGUUCCCACUGGGAAAUAGACCUGGCACCUUUUGAUGACACCUGCUAGGUCAGGCAAGUCACAGAAGGUUGAGGGACAAUGGAAUGUCCUUGGAAUGAGCCUUGGCUCUCAUAAAACAAGCAAAGGGGGCUGGAGAGACAGCAGAAUGAUUAUACAAAAGACUUCCAUGCCUGAGGCUCUGAGGUCCCAGGUUCUGUCCCCAGCACCUCUAUAAGCCAGAGCUGAGCAGUGUUCUGGUAUCUCUCUCUCUCUAUAUAUAUAUAUAUAUGUGUGUGUGUGUGUGUGUGUGUCUGUCUGUCUAUCUGUAUCUUUCUCAUUAAAAAUAUAUGAAUAGUAAAAUAAACACUGUAUUUAAAAAAAAAAAAGCAAAGGAUGAGAAAGUGCCUUCCUCAUGUUGCUGCCAUUCUAUAUGAAGCCUGGCAGAAUUCAAAGGUAUCAGAGGGGGCUGAGAAGUGGUUUCUGUGCAAUGCCUACUCAGUGCCCACAAGUGCUACUCCCACCCAGGCGGUACAGAAUGCAAUGGCUGCUUGCUUCAUUAACCCUGUCUCCCUCAUCACCCCCCCCCCCCACCGGGCAACCAAGACCCCUUUGUAAAGGUUGGAGCAGCAGAGACUGACUCUCAGGAGCUGUGGCUUGGUAAAGCUUCUUGGGUGAGAAGCAGAGGAUGGAGGCAGAAGGGGGCUCAGACACCAGAAAAGGUCACCUUCCACUGGAGCUUUGAGGAGGAGUCUUUCUUUCUAAUCAAGAAAUGCACCACAGAGGAAAAUGGCAGAUACGUGUUUACUGCUUUUCAUUUCCCUCCUUGCCUCUUUUGUAAAUACCUUCUUCCAAGCUGGAAAAUAAAUCUCAAAUCCUGUUGA